rnacentral:rRNA from 1 species
CAGCAGCCGCGGGAAUACGUAGGUCCCGAGCGUUGUCCGGAUUUAUUGGGCGUAAAGCGAGCGCAGGCGGUUAGAUAAGUCUGAAGUUAAAGGCUGUGGCUUAACCAUAGUACGCUUUGGAAACUGUUUAACUUGAGUGCAAGAGGGGAGAGUGGAAUUCCAUGUGUAGCGGUGAAAUGCGUAGAUAUAUGGAGGAACACCGGUGGCGAAAGCGGCUCUCUGGCUUGUAACUGACGCUGAGGCUCGAAAGCGUGGGGAGCAAACAGGAUUAGAUACCCGCGUAGUCCCUGUCUCUUAUACA